UGCGUGCCGCCUGAGACCAGGCCGGGAGUGGCGGACGGAGCGGAGACCUGGGGUAGCCGCCUUCCGUCUUCCUCCUGGUCGCCCAGCUGGCGGGCCCUCUCCCCUCCCUGAGGGCGGCACAUGGGAGAGAGGCGCAGACCUCAUUACCGUGCUUGCCUUUCGCAUGUCUGGUCAUUCUUCGGCCAUGAACGCCCUUUGAAUCAACAUUUCAGACUGAAACCUGACACUAGACAGGACCGAAUGCUAGCUGUGUGGCCUCACACGGCUCAUGUCACACGUGGUGUCUCCCCCCACCACAGCCUGACGACAGUGGUGGUGUUGCACUGAACUCUUCAGGGCUUACUCGGAUGAAGCGAGCCUUGAGCAAGAAUCACCUUUUCAUUACAACACAGGAGCACCUGUCCUACCCCAGGGCCACGGAGGAGAGACAGCUUUCUCUGCACCUCCACGUUCCCUGGGGCAGCUCAAGCUGUGGCUGGCAGGACGAGCAAAGCCCACAGGCUCCACAUGUCCUGAGCGGGGAAGGCUGGCCAAAGGGGAGAUGUCCU